AACGAACGCUGGCGGCGUGCUUAACACAUGCAAGUCGCACGAGAAUUGGGAGCUUGCUCCCAUAGUAAAGUGGCGAACGGGUGAGUAUAACGUAGGUAAUCUACCAUAAGGCGGGGGACAACAUUUCGAAAGGAGUGCUAAUACCCCAUAAGACCACGGUCUCUUCGGAUUCUGUGGCGAAAGGUGACCUCUACUUGUAAGUUAUCGCCUUUUGAUGAGCCUGCGCACCAUUAGCUUGUUGGUAGGGUAACGGCCUACCAAGGCGAAGAUGGUUAGCUGGUCUGAGAGGAUGACCAGCCACACUGGAACUGAAACACGGUCCAGACUCCUACGGGAGGCAGCAGUGGGGAAUAUUGCGCAAUGGGGGAAACCCUGACGCAGCAACGCCGCGUGAGUGAUGAAGGCCUUCGGGUCGUAAAGCUCUGUCA
rnacentral:rRNA from 1 species